UUUAGAGCGUCGGAAUUGCAAUCCGGAGGCCCCGAGUUCAAUCCCGUCCUUA
rnacentral:tRNA from 1 species